rnacentral:lncRNA from 1 species
CCGAUUACACUAUUAUUUAUCUAUUUCUCUACUAUUUCGUACUUGCUAUUGCAUGUUGCUUCUUCUUUGCAGGGUGGUUGACGGUGGCAGAGGAGUUGGUGCGGCGAUGACGUGGGAAGGAGCAGUGGCGCAUAGGCUAGAUUAGGGUUUCUAUUUCUGAACAGCUUAGGUGUUUGGUCCAUUUGGGCCGUUAGGUUUUUUUUAUUUGGUCUUUUGGGUUUAUAAUUUUGGGACUGCAAUUUGGGCUGGUAUUGUAACUGGACUUUAAUAUUUUGUUUUAUUUAUUGUAUUUUUGGUUUGUUUUUUUGCUUUGUUCGUGUUCGGGAAAAAUUGGGCUUUCACAGCUGCCCCUCUUUGCUCGUUAUCAUGUAACAAGAAUGGAGCAAAGACUUUUAAGAAGGGCCAAUUUCGUCUGGUCUCGUCGAAUCUCAACUUUUUUGGUGCUCUUUUUAUUCAAG